rnacentral:lncRNA from 1 species
CCCGAAAUCUCGCGGGUCGAAGCAGAAAACAGGCAGGACGGACAUGGACUCGUUGUGGGCGGAGUUGAGGCAUUCAUUGUCUUGGACACGGAGGUCGUUGCGGAACCAAACGAUGGAUGCUCGACGGAGACCGGCGCCGUUGUUGGGGUCGAGGGGGCGGCGGGGGCCGAGAGUGAGGGGGCUUUGGAGGGGGUUGGCUGAGAUGGUGGAGUUGAAGGAAAGCUUGGAGGGGGCGGGGGCGGUGGCGGAGAGGGAGAGGUGGGAGAGGGAGGAGGCUUGGGUUGGGAUUUUGGCCUUGGUGGGUUGGUGGGAGGAGGAGAAGAGGGUGGAGACUUUGGGUUGUUGGAAGAAGUGGAUGGGGAGGAUUGAGGCCAGGGAGAG